UUCAUAUGAAUCACCUCUGGCUGGGGAUGAAUUUGACAGAGGCCAUUUCUGCACCUAUUGUGUUUGUUGAUUCCAAGAACAAUGUGCAUUUUGAGCCACUCUUUGACAAGACUGUCAUAGAUGGCCUUAAAGCUGUUGGACACAAAAUUACACACUGGAAGUACUUCUUAAAUGUAGUCAACGCUGUGGAAAAAGAGGGUGGCUGCAUUUCAGCAUUUUCAGAUAUUCGGAAGAUGGGACAGUCAGCUGGAUACUGACGAAUGCCUUCAGCUUUAGUCUUUGAGACAAUAGAAUAUGCCACCGACCAAAGAAAUGCCAGUAAUUCAGGGCUCAGACAGCACUCUGGCAGACAAAACUCAGUUUAACGUCAUUACAAACAAGAAACAAGAGCUAAUACAGUCACCAAAGGUAGAAUUAAUCAUGUUUUUUGUAAGUCAGGCCAUACAAAGUUUUGAAUAUCAUCUUACUGUCUUUGUUGAUAUCAUCAUGUAAACUGAGCUCUUGAAAAUACAGUCAGGUUCAUAAAUGUUUGGAUAAGGACACAAAUUAUUCUAAUUUUGCUUCUGUAUAACAUCAGAGUGAAUUUGAAAUGAAGCAAUCAACAUGUUAUUGUGAACUUUCAGCUUUAAUGCAAGAUUUUUAGAAAGGGUUCAAAAGAAAGUGGAAAACUGACUGACUAGUAGCUCCAGUGUCACAUGGGGCUUGUUCCUUGGGAAAUUUGUGCCAAACUAAGCAGAUAAAAGGUCUGGACUUGAUUCCAAAUGUUGGUUUUGCAUUUGGUGACAAUUCAUUGGAAUUCUCAAAGUGAAGAAGGUUGUUACUCAGCUGACCCCAGUGCCCACUGUGGAAACAAACCCCAGUGUCUACUGUGGAAACAAACCCCAGUGUCUACUGUGGAAACAAACCCCGGUGUCUACUGUGGAAACAAACUCCAGUGUCUACUGUGG